rnacentral:misc_RNA from 1 species
UUUCAGUCAGGUAGCAUGUGGUUAUGCCAUGACUGUUGCUUUGACAACUGCAGGCCGAGUAUAUACGAUGGGUAGUAAUGUUUAUGGCCAACUUGGUAGCCCUCUAGCUAAUGGAAUGUCUCCAAUUUGUGUGGAAGAUUAUUUCGUUGACAGUACUGUAGAGGAAAUUUCUUGUGGUUCACAUCAUGUUGCAGUUUUAACUUCCAAAACAGAAGUUUAUACAUGGGGAAAGGGUGAAAACGGGCAACUUGGUCAUGGAGACUGCGAGAACAAGUGUACACCUACUCUAGUAGAUAUUUUGAGGGAUAAACAAG